AUUCGCUUAGGUAGCUGGAACAUAGGGUCUCUGACAGGGAAGCUUCGGGAGCUAGUUGAUGCAGCGGUGAGGAGAGGUGUUGAUAUCCUUUGCGUCCAAGAAACCAAAUGGAGAGGACAGAAGGCGAAGGAGGUGAAGGAUACUAGCUUCAAGCUGUGGUACACAGGGACGGCCGCAAACAGAAAUGGCGUAGGCAUCUUGAUCAACAAGAGCCUCAAGUAUGGAGUGGUAGACGUCAAGAGACGUGGGGACCGGAUUAUCCUGGUCAAGCUGGUAGUUGAGGACUUGGUUCUCAAUGUUAUCAGCGCGUAUGCCCCGCAAGUAGGCCACAAUGAGAACACCAAGAGGGAGUUCUGGGAAGGCCUGGAAGACAUGGUUAGGAGUGUACCGAUUGGUGAGAAGCUCUUCAUAGGAGGAGACCUCAAUGACCACGUGGGUACAUCUAACACAGGUUUUGAAGGGGCGCACGGGGGCUUUGGCUAUGGCAUCAGGAAUCAAAAA
rnacentral:rRNA from 1 species